ACCUGGCUGGCUCAGUGGGUAGAGCAUGUGACUCUUGACUUCAGGAUGGUGAGUUCGAGCCCCAUGUUAGGUA
rnacentral:tRNA from 1 species